CAAACAUUUUGAAAAGUUUCCUGGGCACAUCUCCUAGCUCUCUGAGGUUCAUCAUCUCUAUUUUACACCUCCCCUAUGAACUUCUGCCAGCUUUCCACCAACAUCAGAGCAAAAGCCUUUGCAGCCUAUCUCAGAAGAUACUCUGUUUAACCCAUCCACUGUUUCUGCGUCCUUUAUUGACAAACUCCCAAAGAAAUCAUGUUUUCCAUCUCAGGAGCCGGGCAGGUGUAUGUACAGGCACCCCAAAUGAGGCAGGUCCCCAAAAGAAGGCCACAAGAGGAGCCACACCUUUGCUGCUUCUAAGUCACCGCAGCUCAUUCUGGAAACAGAUGGGAAAAAGUGCAUGUGUCACUGAAAGCUGAACUUUGAGAUUAAGGAAUAUUUCAUUUCAUAAGCGAAGCUCACAGACUAACCCUUGGCUGCUGCUACUGUAUGUACCUUUUGCCUGGCGACCUUCCCACCCUACCUUGCUGGAUAUGAGGGGAGAUUCAGGAGGCCAGUGGUGGCACCCACCAUGAAGGAUACCAUGGAUAGCUGGAUAAAGGUGGGCACCAAAGAAAUGCUUUUCCUUUCUGGAACUCCAGGCACAUUCUUCUUAUCUCCCUGACUCUCAGCCCACCUUCUUGAUCAGUUUCAACUGGCCUGGGAGACUCCUGGCCUUGGGCACCAAGCCCCAUUGUAUCUACUGUCCAGCCCUUGCUUUGCUGUCCAUAUCUUGGAUGUGUGACCAUGAUCUUGACCAGGCUCUCAUGACAAAUGACAAUAUGGUUGUUUCCAGUUAUUUUUCUGUUAUAAACAACAAAUAUAUUCU
rnacentral:lncRNA from 1 species